rnacentral:piRNA from 1 species
UAGCAAAUGGUCUACCUCUAAAGUCUUGGUU